AUGCCUUGGGUUCUCAUGGGUCAGGCAGCAGAUGGAAGGCUACUUUGUGGCCGGUGUUUUUUUUGAGUAUGUUAAUAUAUGCAUGGGAGUGUGUGGGUCUCCUCCUCCACCUCCUCCACUGGCAUGGUGCCGGUCCGGGAAUGCGUCCGUGAUUUUGUGCAGACGUGACUGGGAAACAUCUCUAGUUUCUGUAUGGGUUCAGGGUAAGACAGCGAUGUGAAGAAGAAGAAGAGAGAGAUUUGAGAGAGGCAAGAGAGCGAGAGAAACGGUCAGAAAACCAGAGAAGUUUCAAGGAGGGAGAUUUGUUUUUGGAUUUCUACGAAACAGCCAUGGAAACUCAAUAUGACGACACUGGCGAUGAACGGCGGGAGAAACAAGGUUGCUUCGAGUGCUGUAUUAAAUGUCUGGGCGGCGUGCCGUAUGCGUCUCUGGUGGCCACCAUCCUGUGCUUCUGCGGCAUGGCGCUCUUCUGCGGCUGCGGACACGUCGCUCUGACAGGAACCCUCACCAUCCUGGAGAACCACUUCUCUAGGAUCACCACAGACCACGCCACGCUGAGCGACAUAAUCCAGCUCAUGCAGUAUGUUAUAUACGGCAUCGCCUGCUUCUUCUUCCUGUACGGCAUCAUUCUGCUCGCCGAGGGGUUUUACACCAGCAGCGCCGUCAAAGAGCUCCACAGCGAGUUCAAGACCACCGUCUGCGGACGCUGCAUCAGCGGCAUGUUCGUGCUCCUGACCUACGUCCUGGGAAUCGCCUGGCUCGGGGUUUUCGGCUUCUCAGCGGUUCCUGUGUUCCUUUUCUACAACAUGAGGUCGACCUGCGCUGCCAUGCGCUCACCGAUGGCCAACCUGACCUCCGCCGACAGCAUCUGCGUGGAUGUGCGGCAGUACGGCAUUAUUCCAUGGAACGCAACACCGGGCAAAGCUUGCGGCUCAACGCUAGCUGAUAUCUGCAACACCAGCGAAUUCUAUCUGUCUUAUCAUCUGUUCAUCGUGGCUUGUGCCGGAGCCGGAGCCACAGUCGUUGCUCUGCUCAUCUACAUGAUGGCUACCACGUAUAACUUUGCUGUUUUGAAGUUUAAGAGUCGAGAGGACUGCUGCACUAAAUUUUAACGCAGCUGCGUCGAAGUGCCUAGAAUGAGCAGCCACUGACAAUAUGGACUAAAAUAAUCGAAGCGAAGACAAACGGGAGAAACACUUCUUUGCUUUGACAUGUAAUGUGUAAAUAUAGACCUGUAUACGGAUGUAGCAUUUGGACGCAGGUGCAGCCCGAGUCUGCAAACAUGCACGUGUUGUUAGCCAGAAAAGCCUGAUUUGAAGCCUAACACGAAGUCUCUUUAAAUUCCUCUGAAGUAUUACGGCUAAAGGACAGACGCACGGCGCAGCAGAGGAAAGUAUUUUUCCCAUUCAUUUUCUCAAAACAGAUUCUGGAAAAUCCUGAUCCAUGCACCAAAUAAAAACCAGGAGAUUCACGAAAUGCCAUUCAAAGCACAACGAUUGAAGACUAAAUAACAGAAACUUGCAUCUGAGCUUCAGUUCAAAUUCGUAUGAAUUAUAAACAAUUCUAAAUAUUAUAUAAGCAGUACUUGUGUGUUAGC